AGUGAACGCUGGCGGUAGGCCUAACACAUGCAAGUCGAACGGCAGCACAGUAAGAGCUUGCUCUUACGGGUGGCGAGUGGCGGACGGGUGAGGAAUACAUCGGAAUCUACUUUUUCGUGGGGGAUAACGUAGGGAAACUUACGCUAAUACCGCAUACGACCUACGGGUGAAAGCAGGGGAUCUUCGCCCCUUGCGCGAUUGAAUGAGCCGAUGUCGGAUUAGCUAGUUGGCGGGGUAAAGGCCCACCAAGGCGACGAUCCGUAGCUGGUCUGAGAGGAUGAUCGGCCACACUGGAACUGAGACACGGUCCAGACUCCUACGGGAGGCAGCAGUGGGGAAUAUUGGACAAUGGGCGCAAGCCUGAUCCAGCCAUACCGCGUGGGUGAAGAAGGCCUUCGGGUUGUAAAGCCCUUUUGUUGGGAAAGAAAAGCAGCAGGUUAAUACCCCGCUGUUCUGACGGUACCCAAAGAAUAAGCACCGGCUAACUUCGUG
rnacentral:rRNA from 1 species